UAUAGGUGCAUCCCCAAGUUAUAGCUACAGUUUCUGAGUGGGAUUUGAAGGGAAAGUUUAGCUAUUUGAAUUUCAAAAGGAAACAGGCAGAGAUGUCAUGGGUUGGCUUUGGAAUAAAAAAUGUAGCCUUUUGGUUCAGAUUUUCUGAAGAAAUAUUAACCGAAUUUCCUUAUUGAUUCAGAUUUGCAGAGAUUCGGCCUCGACAAUUCAUGAACAAGUGAAGAUUUGGUUAGAUAAUUAUUUGCCACUUUGUACCCUUUGCUCGAAAUAGGAGAGAGGGAAUAAGAAACAUAUCAACUUGUAUGAAAAUGGUGCAGACAGAUCUGUCCAUGGCUGAAAGAGGAAUUAAACUUUUUUUGCCAAAAAGAAAAAGAGGGGUAGCGUACGAUGG
rnacentral:lncRNA from 1 species